GUUUUAGCGACUCACGUUUAUCAACGACGUAAAGGUUAGCUCUUCCUAACAAUUCACUCUCUCUUUUCUGUACACAAAUCUAUUGAGGCUUUGGACAGGAUGGGAAUGGAUUUAAUAGAAACUGGAAAUUCAGAUGCGUUCAAUCAGUAUCUGUCGGAGUUUGAUAACACCAUUCAUUUGUAGAGGAUCAGUAACUUGGGGAUUAUUUUCUGUCUUGUAAGUUUUGCUACCAUAAUUGGAAUGAUUUUCUUUUUAGUUUCACUUCCUGUUGGUUUGAAUGGUCUGAUUAUGAAUUUGCUACAAUGUUAUGAAUGCGGGGUCGAAACUUGGCUGGGUGAAGGAGCUUUUGAGGAAUUAUUGUAAAAAGAAUUUCAGAAAUUGAGGUCUCUUGUGGCUUUUGGAAGAUUAUUUCUGCAUAUUAUGUGAUUCGAUAGAUUGUUCUUUAAAGAAAUAUCCAUUAUUGAAUAAAUUUUCUGUAGAUAUGCCAUCAUUAUGCAAAAUCUGACUGAGAGGCUUAGGCCCCUUGUGCGUUUGAAGACCAAAAGUUGAUUGAUUAUAUCACAGCACAAUGCAACAUUUCACAGAAGCAAGACACCCUGCUUGGUGCUGGCUGCAAUACAAGCUUCCCUGUCAACACAAAUGACAGAGCACUGAAAUACAACCACAGCCCUUUCCAGGCAAUGAGAAUGAAGGAAAUGAUCAUCUAAACAGUAAUCAUUUCCAGCAGUCGCCUGUUGUUUCCCCAGUGGAUCAUGAUUCGAAUGUGCCAUAUGACAUAUCAGUUGAUCGAAUCCUUCUCUGCAGCACUUCUCCAAUGAAUAUCCUGCAACAUGUCACUUACAACUCAGAGAACAGCAUGAAGAAUGUCCUUGUUUUUGUGAGAAUUGAUAAUGCCCUUGUAUUUGAUAGAGGUCAUGUGUUGAGCUG
rnacentral:lncRNA from 1 species